CCAGCAGCCGCGGUAAUUCCAGCUCCAAUAGCGUAUAUUUAAGUUGCUGCAGUUAAAAAGCUCGUAGUUGGAUUUCGGGUGGGGCCUGCCGGUCCGCCGUUUCGGUGUGCACUGGACGGGCCCACCUUAGUGCCGGGGACGGGCUCCUGGGCUUGACUGUCCGGGACCCGGAGUCGGCGAGGUUACUUUGAGUAAAUUAGAGUGUUCAAAGCAGGCCUACGCUCUGAAUACAUUAGCAUGGAAUAACACGAUAGGACUCUGGCCUAUCCUGUUGGUCUGUAGGACCGGAGUAAUGAUUAAGAGGGACAGUCGGGGGCAUUCGUAUUUCAUUGUCAGAGGUGAAAUUCUUGGAUUUAUGAAAGACGAACUACUGCGAAAGCAUUCGCCAAGGAUGUUUUCA
rnacentral:rRNA from 1 species